CAACUACUCCCUCUGUCCCAAAUUUCUUGUCUUAGAUUUGUCUAGAUAUGGAUGUAUCUAAAACUAAAAUGUGACUUGAUACAUCUGUAUCUAGACAAAUCUAAGACAAGAAUUUUGGGACGGAGGGAGUACUUU
rnacentral:pre_miRNA from 1 species